AAGUUAAAUGCCCUGGGCUCGCUCUGUAAACGUGGAGCUGAGAGGAACCACCAGGCAGCCUCUCCCUCUUCUUCUGGAACCUUCUCCCAACAGUGAUGGCUGCCACAGAGCAGGGGCUGGAGGCCAUGACCCUGUACUCUGGAGCAGGGAUGGAUUGAGCACCUACUGUGUACCAAGCACUACCCUCCCCCACCCCCGGAAGAUAGCAGUGACCGAAACAGACCGAGAAACCCGCCGGAAAGCAAAACCCAGAAAACUCUCGGGCCUCGGUGGCCUCAGGCUUCAUGUCAAAUUAACACGUGGCCUCGAGGUUCGGGGGCCCCAGACCCACCGAGACUCUUCUCCCAGGAAAGACCAACGUUUGCGCGGCCAGCUCCAGAGGGGAUCUCCCCGCUGUCUGGGGGAGAGGUGGCAG